UACAGGGGUGCAACGUUGCUCGGAAUCAUUGGGCGUAAAGCGCACGUAGGCGGUCUAUUAUGUCGGAUGUGAAAGCCCUUGGCUCAACUAAGGAAGUGCAUCCGAAACUGGCAGGCUGGAGUACUAAAGAGGGUCGCGGAAUUCCCGGUGUAGAGGUGAAAUUCGUAGAUAUCGGGAGGAACACCGGUGGCGAAGGCGGCGACCUGGGUAGAUACUGACGCUGAGGUGCGAAAGCGUGGGGAGCAAACAGGG
rnacentral:rRNA from 1 species